rnacentral:rRNA from 1 species
GGAGGAAAAGAAACUAACUAGGAUUCCCUUAGUAGCUGCGAGCGAACAGGGAAAAGCCCAGCACCGAAUCUUGCGGCCGGUAACGGUCGCCGAGAAAUGUGGUGUUAGGGAGGAUCCGUUAUCUCGAGGUAAUACGGUGCGUCCAAGUCCUUCUUGAACGGGGCCACAGCCCAUAGAGGGUGCCAGGCCCGUAGCGACUGCCGUUUACAGCGAGAGGGUCUCUCCUCAGAGUCGGGUUGCUUGAGAGUGCAGCCCUAAGUGGGUGGUAAACUCCAUCUAAGGCUAAAUAUGACCACGAGACCGAUAGCGAACAAGUACCGUGAGGGAAAGUUGAAAAGCACUUUGAAGAGAGAGUUCAAGAGUACGUGAAACCGUUUAGGGGUAAACCUGAGAAACCCGAAAGGUCGAAAGGAGAAAUUCAUUCGCGUUUCGGCCGGCGGUGACGGGCGUUAGAGUGACGUCGAGCUUCGUGCGAGACGCGCCUUUCGUUCGUCUUACCGUUGUCGAACGCGUGCACUUUUCUCCUAGUAGGACGUCGCGAUCCGUUGGGUGCGGGUAUAAGGCCUCCGGUGGAGUCCUCGAGUCGUUUCGUAUUCGAGAACCCGGGGUGUCCCUACCUGCUCGCUCGACGGUAUAAUGAUGGCGCGGAGCCGCUACCYGUUAGCGUUCGGCCCGCGGCAAGCAAGUCGGGUGUGUCGGCCUCCGGACCUAGCGCCGGUUCUGACCCCCGRCUACUGUUGGCCGCGGUGUUCUCGGACAGACUCCGUACACGCCGAUCGGCGACGCUUUAGCUUUGGGUACUUUCAGGACCCGUCUUGAAACACGGACCAAGGAGUCUAGCAUGUGCGCGAGUCAUUGGGACAUAACUAAACCUAAAGGCGYAAUGAAAGUAAAAGUUUGCCUCGCGCAAACCUAGGGAAGAUAGGCGGUUUGCCCUUAAAAGUGGCCGCCUCGCACUCCCGGGGCGUCUCGUUCUCAUCGCGAGAUGAGGCGCACCAAGAGCGUACACGCUGGGACCCGAAAGAUGGUGAACUAUGCCUGGUCAGGACGAAGUCAGGGGAAACCCUGAUGGAGGUCCGUAGCGAUUCUGACGUGCAAAUCGAUCGUCGGAACUGGGUAUAGGGGCGAAAGACUAAUCGAACCAUCUAGUAGCUGGUUCCCUCCGAAGUUUCCCUCAGGAUAGCUGGCGCUCGUAGCGCACGAGUCUCAUCCGGUAAAGCGAAUGAUUAGAGGCAUUGGGGUCGAAACGACCUCAACCUAUUCUCAAACUUUAAAUGGGUGAGAUCUCCGGCUUGCUCGAACUCAUGAAGCCGCGAGACACGGAUCAGAGUGCCAAGUGGGCCAUUUUUGGUAAGCAGAACUGGCGCUGUGGGAUGAACCAAACGCCGAGUUAAAGCGCCUAAAUCGACGCUUAUGGGAUACCAUGAAAGGCGUUGGUAACUUAAGACAGCAGGACGGUGGCCAUGGAAGUCGGAAUCCGCCAAGGAGUGUGUAACAACUCACCUGCCGAAGUUACUAGCCCUGAAAAUGGAUGGCGCUGAAGCGUCGUGCUUAUACUCGGCCGUCAGCGGCAUGUGCGAACGUCCUUCGCGGGACGUUCAUGAAGCUCUGACGAGUAGGAGGGUCGCGGCGGUGAGCGCAGAAGGGCUGGCCGUGAGGCCGUCUGGAGCCGCCGUCGGUGCAGAUCUUGGUGGUAGUAGCAAAUACUCCAGCGAGGCCCUGGAGGACUGACGUGGAGAAGGGUUUCGUGUGAACAGCCGUUGCACACGAGUCAGUCGAUCCUAAGCCCUAGGCGAAAGCCGAUGUUGAUGYGGUGUUGAUUUAUGAGUUUUUUGUUUUAACUAUAUAU